GACGAACGCUGGCGGCGUGCCUAAUACAUGCAAGUAGAACGCUGAAGAGAGGAGCUUGCUCUUCCUGGAUGAGUUGCGAACGGGUGAGUAACGCGUAGGUAACCUGCCUUGUAGCGGGGGAUAACUAUUGGAAACGAUAGCUAAUACCGCAUAACAAUGGAUGACACAUGUCAUUUAUUUGAAAGGGGCAAUUGCUCCACUACAAGAUGGACCUGCGUUGUAUUAGCUAGUAGGUGAGGUAAUGGCUCACCUAGGCGACGAUACAUAGCCGACCUGAGAGGGUGAUCGGCCACACUGGGACUGAGACACGGCCCAGACUCCUACGGGAGGCAGCAGUAGGGAAUCUUCGGCAAUGGGGGCAACCCUGACCGAACAACGCCGCGUGAGUGAAGAAGGUUUUCGGAUCGUAAAGCUCUGUUGUAAGUCAAGAACGGGUGUGAGAGUGGAAAGUUCACACUGUGACGGUAGCUUACCAGAAAGGGACGGCUAACUACGUGCCAGCAGCCGCGGUAAUACGUAGGUCCCGAGCGUUGUCCGGAUUUAUUGGGCGUAAAGCGAGCGCAGGCGGUUUGAUAAGUCUGAAGUUAAAGGCUGUGGCUCAACCAUAGUUCGCUUUGGAAACUGUCAAACUUGAGUGCAGAAGGGGAGAGUGGAAUUCCAUGUGUAGCGGUGAAAUGCGUAGAUAUAUGGAGGAACACCGGUGGCGAAAGCGGCUCUCUGGUCUGUAACUGACGCUGAGGCUCGAAAGCGUGGGGAGUGAACAGGAUUAGAUACCCUGGUAGUCCACGCCGUAAACGAUGAGUGCUAGGUGUUGGAUCCUUUCCGGGAUUCAGUGCCGCAGCUAACGCAUUAAGCACUCCGCCUGGGGAGUACGACCGCAAGGUUGAAACUCAAAGGAAUUGACGGGGGCCCGCACAAGCGGUGGAGCAUGUGGUUUAAUUCGAAGCAACGCGAAGAACCUUACCAGGUCUUGACAUCCCGAUGCUAUUUCUAGAGAUAGAAAGUUACUUCGGUACAUCGGUGACAGGUGGUGCAUGGUUGUCGUCAGCUCGUGUCGCGAGAUGUUGGGUUAAGUCCCGCAACGAGCGCAACCCCUAUUGUUAGUUGCCAUCAUUCAGUUGGGCACUCUAGCGAGACUGCCGGUAAUAAACCGGAGGAAGGUGGGGAUGACGUCAAAUCAUCAUGCCCCUUAUGACCUGGGCUACACACGUGCUACAAUGGUUGGUACAACGAGUUGCGAGUCGGUGACGGCGAGCUAAUCUCUUAAAGCCAAUCUCAGUUCGGAUUGUAGGCUGCAACUCGCCUACAUGAAGUCGGAAUCGCUAGUAAUCGCGGAUCAGCACGCCGCGGUGAAUACGUUCCCGGGCCU
rnacentral:rRNA from 1 species